CCUAAACACAACAGCAGCUGAAGUGAGGAGAGAGGUGAGAGCUUUCCACCAUUGUUACUAUUCACUUCAAACUUCCCAAGCUCAUAUCUUGAGCUACAGAGCUCCGAUCGCCGCACCGUUUGCGGCUACGCGUUCCUUGUGAAGAGCUCUACAAAACCCACCCAAAAAACCCUCAAGGUUUGCUCUAAUCCUUGCUUAGCUUUGGACUUGUGUUAUCAAAUCUGUUGGGAAAGUUUGAUUAUUGUGGCUUUGGGAGCUUUUGGAACUUAUUUGUGCUUGUUGGAGUGGAUUUGAAAGCUUGGAUUGUGGUUGGAAGCUUGUUGGUACUCAUUUUGAGUUUGGGUGCAUAAAGAGAAUCAGCCAAGGUAUGGUUUCGGUUUCCUCUAUGUAGUAUAUAAUAUUCAUGGACACAUAGGCUAGUGACCAAUAGGAUAGGUUGAACUAAAAUGAUGGUUGGUGUGCUAAAAAUAUUGAUGAAUUGAUGAAUGUUGAGUUGAUUGUGAUGAAUUAUAAUGAUAUGAUGAUGUUGAAUGAUUGUAUAGAUUGGGAGUUGGUUCUUAUGAUGAUUGUAGUGUUAUGAUUUAAGAAAUGGUGGGUUUGAUGGUGAUUUUGAUCAUAUGUGUUAUAUAGUUAAUGUUGGAAUUGAGAAUAAUGAAAUGAGGAGGAAAAUGUGGUGAGGUUGAUGUAUUAUGCUAUAACAAGUACAUUUUGAUGGAAAAUGGAGCUUUGGAUGGUUUGGUAUGAUUUGGUAUGGGUAUGGUGAGAUAGGAUGGUAAUUGUGAAGUUGGAAAAAUUGAUUUUUUGGUGAACUUUGUUCGAUCAUAACUUUUGCCUCGGUUUUCGAAAUUGAUUGAAAAUUGUUUAGAAUUAAAGAUCUUUGAAAACUCUUUGAAUCAGUAUAAAGAUUGUGAAAAUUGGAAUUUUGUAGAGGAAGUUACGAUCAUUCAAAGUU